rnacentral:lncRNA from 1 species
CGAUUUCUCCUCGCGGCCCAUUACCCCUCGAAUACCAAAUAUUUACGUCCCACCCAUGUAUACCUAAGGGGAAAAUGACGAAAUAGAAGGGUAAAAUUGUCACUCACUCCUCUAUAUAUAGUGCGGCAGUAGAGACGAACCACGUUUUUGGUAUAGUCCAAAGGCGAACGAACGAAUCAGAGGAAUUUUCGUUGCCCACUCUCUCUCUAAAAUACACACACUCUCUCUAUAUCUAUCGCUUUCUCUCUCCAAAUACAUCGACGAUCAAAUUAGGGUUUUCAAUUUGUUUCGACUUCACGCAGUAAUGAUUUCCGAUUCGAUCGCCAACGCUUCCAUCUCCAUGGCCUCCUCUAACCCAAAAGAUUUCGCCAAGAAAAAGAAGGUAUUUAUGUGUUUCUUGAUAUUUUUAUGUUUUUACACAUAUAUUGUGUAUACGUUUGUUUUCUUUUUAAUUGUGCACUUAUAUACCUUUUCAUAUUUUUAUUUUUACUUGUAUAAAUUCUCAAGAUUUUUAAUUAAGACUUGUAUAAAUAUCCAUAUUUUCAAUUUUCAUAGUCUUGAAUGUAGUAUUGAUUCUCAAUGCUUUUCGUUGAAGUUGAUUUUCCCUUCUAUCAAUUUCCACACUGUUUCUUUGUUAAUUUUCAGGGUAAUUGGGUGGAAUUUGCUGAUUUUCAAUGUUUUUGAGUUUAUAUAAUUUCUUUUUAAUUGUUUCUUUGGGGGGAUUUUAGGCGAAUCGAUCAGCCAAAUUAAAGCAGUGCAAGCUUGAUGCUCGCCGCGAGCAGUGGCUUUCUCAAGGUUAGUCAAAGAUCUGUGUUCUGUAACAUGCAUUCACGUCAUAUGUGUACAUACUCAUCUUUACUUAUAUAGUGAAGAAUAAGGGUAACUGUAAGGAGGAAUCAAAUGAUGGCGGGAUACAUGGAGGAUCAUCGGUGAAAUUGGGGAACAAGAGCAUACUUGCCAUAGAGAAAUUGGAGAUUAAGCCGAGAGAUGUGCAGGAGAAUUAUGGAGAUGGAUUGCCACUGCAUCAUUACAGUGAUUCCGAGUCAUCGCCAUCCACUAGCCACAACAGUAGCGUCUUGGGCAUUAUUGAUUCCAGAGCCAAUUUUACAGGGAGCAGCAGCCAAAGCAGUAGUGCUAGCAGCAACGGAUGUUGUUCUGGAAGUAUGAGUGAGGAAGGUGAAGGGGAUGAUGAUGGCUGCUUGGAUGAUUGGGAGGCUGUGGCUGAUGCCUUGGCUGAAACCGAUGACAAGAAGCAACAGCAUAACACCGACUCAGGAUUGGAUUCAUUAACUUCGGAGAAAGAUUUAAAUGCUUCCCAGUCAGAUUCUCAAUCGAUGGUAACAAACCAAUUGGCCUUUGGGCUUGAUGUUUCAAAGCCGAAGCUGGAGAAUCAGAGAAUGGUUGCAGAAGGGGCUCUGGUAAAUUGCCAGGCAUGGAGGCCUGAUGAUGCCUGUCGUCCUCAAACCCUGCCCAACUUGUCUAAGCAGUAUAGUUUCCCAAUGAAUUCAGGGAGACAUUUUGAUUGUGGAGGCUCUGUUUGGGCAUGUAGGAAUGUUGUGCCUGUCCCCACAUCGUGCCCAAUAUGCUAUGAGGAUUUUGACUUCACGGACUCGAGUUUUCUCCCUUGUUCAUGUGGCUUCCGGCUUUGCCUUUUCUGUCACAAGAGGAUUCUUGAGGAGGAUGGGCGCUGUCCAGGUUGCAGGAAGCAGUAUGACUCUGAAACUGUUGAUGGAGAGGCAACACUGGAUGGAGGCAGCUUGACAUUUCGGUUGGCCCGUUCUUGUAGCAUGAUCACACGGUCUUAGGAAGAGUCUUUGUUUCCCUUGAACGUAUAUGUUUGGUCCAUCUUUUUCUCAGUGUUCCUUUUGUGUGUUCUUGUUGCGAGACUCUAGUUAUCGCGAGACUCUAGUUAUCAUAGUCUUAUAUGUUGGCAUAGAAGGGAGUUUUUGAAGCACAGAUCUAGUACUCUAAUGAUUUUGGUCCAUAUAUUUGUAUGGUGCGUGUGCUGGAAGACUUUGUUAUGUGAAUAGAUGAGGUGGUAUAGAAAUUGAAUACGCCAAGUUUGGUGAAACAUGACUGUUGUAUCUUGAUGAAUUUAGUUUGUUCCCUUGAGAUGAAGUACAAAUUCAUAAUGUGAAGGAAUUUCUUAAAAGUUCUAUCAUUCUUCUUUCGACAUAUUCUCUACUAUAUGCGUGUUCUUAUCUUUUUCUUGUGCUUUAUGUUAGCCUUACAUAUAUAUGAUUGAAGGCAAAAUUUCCUGAGCUUCUCAAGUUUUACAUGAUGAUAUUUAAAAUUCGAUACUUCUAGAUGUUUGUCGUGAAGAUUUGGAAGACUAAGACACAGCUUUAAUUAUUAAAGAAGUUUAGUUUUCGAUUUAUAACUUGAAAUUUUUUAAAUUAUGAUCAAGAUGCUUAUGAUUCAAGUUAUUCAUUUUUUAAUUUUGUUUCUAUGAAGCAGGAAUCAACAGUCAUCAUCUUUCAGCUAGUUUGUACCGACUUGUGGAGAAGGGGUAAAAAUAGUAGAUUGUGGUUAAUGUUUGCAUUGUAGUUCUUCAUUUAAUUUUACUUUUUUUUUUUUUUUUUCAGUUUCCUCCUUUGCAUUUGUACUGCCUUGAUUUUCGGCUUCAAGAUGGUUAUAUGCCAGAGCACUGAUACCGUGGAUUAGUGUUAGUUGCCUGGUGUCUGGUUUAUUUGAUUUGUGAAAACCUCAGUGAACCUGAGUGUUUUGAACAAGGACUAUGCAGCCAUGUGAGUUACAAUUAAUUAUAUUAUGAAGCAAAUCAAAUAGUGGUGUUCGAAGAAAAGGAUGUGAAAGUAACCAUUUUCUAGGCAUGGGAUGCCAGGGUAACUAAAUGAAGAUUAGCAAGCUUUAGAAGAUGGUGUAAGAUGUUCUUGUUAUCUAAUUCUUAAACUCCUUGAUUAUUUACAUUUUGGCAACUGUCCGCAGAAACAUUUUGACCCAGGAUCUUGCUAUUUAAAAUGGAGUUAGUAAUUUCAUGCCCAGGCUCUUGAGGAGUAGAAGUUGUGGGAUGAGAAGGAAAGAAAUAAUAGAUUAGAAAACGGAGCUGUAGGUGGAGAAGGAAAGAAUUGUGAAAAUACGUGGAGAAGUGUAGAUGACCAAAAACAUUUCAUCCUUCAUGGAAUUAGUAAUGUCACACUUGUGCUGUUAGUACGACAUUGUUAUCGUGUGCAAUUGAAUAUGCGUUGCAUUGGAGGUUAUAUGAAAGGUCCUUGUAUUAGUGUUUGAAAGACAGAGACAUUGGGCAAAGCAUUUCAUCCUUCCUGAAGUGGACCCGCCUUUACAUGUCUAUUAUUUGUAAGAAAAUGAAAUAUACUAUUUAUACAUAACCAUAUUGACAAAUUCAUAUUAUAGGAAACAACUGAACUAAGGACAGGUGUUAAAAAUAUUGAUGAGAACAAAAUAUAUCUAAAAAUGUUGAUAAAACAUGCUUGUUUCAUAAUGUCAUAAAGUCUGCCAUUUUGUAAGCUUGUUAUUUUACUAGAGAGGGUGCACUUUCAAUUUGACAUGGCCAUCAAUGUUACUUAAGCCUUAUUCCUAUGAUGUCAAUGGAGCAAAUGCUUAGCUAGGAAACAUGAUGAACUAGCUUCUACAGUAUGUGUCACUUCUUCAGGCAUGUGCACUAGCAGAUUUUCAUCUUCUAAUAGCUUAGGGCAUUUUGGACUGCCUUGAUCUUAAGCGAGCAAGGACUUGGCCUUUCUCAAUAUAGCUGAGACUAAGAAGGGUUUAUUCAAUUGAGACUUUUAAUGACUUUUUGGGAUUCAAAAAGUUUAG